rnacentral:rRNA from 1 species
GUGCCAGCAGCCGCGGUAAUACGAAGGGUGCGAGCGUUAAUCGGAAUUACUGGGCGUAAAGCGUGCGUAGGUGGUUGGCUAAGUCCGAUGUGAAAGCCCUGGGCUCAACCUGGGAAUGGCAUUGGAUACUGGCUGGCUGGAGUGCGGUAGAGGGCAGCGGAAUUUCCGGUGUAGCGGUGAAAUGCGUAGAUAUUGGGAAGAACACCAGUGGCGAAGGCGCUCUGCUGGACCGAGACUGACGCUGAGGGACGAAAGCUAGGGGAGCGAAAGGGAUUAGAUACCCCUGUAGUCCUAGCUGUAAACGAUGGACACUAGGUGUUGCGCGUAUCGACCCGUGCAGUGCCGUAGCUAACGCGUUAAGUGUCCCGCCUGGGGAGUACGCACGCAAGUGUGAAACUCAAAGGAAUUGACGG